GAUCCUGGCUCAAGAUGAACGCUAGCUACAGGCUAACACAUGCAAGUCGAGGGGUAGCAGGGUAGCAAUACCGCUGACGACCGGCGCACGGGUGAGUAACACGUAUCCAACCUUCCCAUAACUCAGGGAUAGCCUUUCGAAAGAAAGAUUAAUACCUGAUAGUACUUUUCAAGGCAUCUUGAGAAGUUAAAGAUUUAUUGGUUAUGGAUGGGGAUGCGUUCCAUUAGAUAGUUGGUGAGGUAACGGCUCACCAAGUCUUCGAUGGAUAGGGGUUCUGAGAGGAAGGUCCCCCACAUUGGUACUGAGACACGGACCAAACUCCUACGGGAGGCAGCAGUGAGGAAUAUUGGUCAAUGGGCGAGAGCCUGAACCAGCCAAGUAGCGUGAAGGAUGAAGGUCCUAUGGAUUGUAAACUUCUUUUAUAGUAGAAUAAAGUGAUCCACGUGUGGAUUUUUGUAUGUAUACUAUGAAUAAGGAUCGGCUAACUCCGUGCCAGCCGCAGC
rnacentral:rRNA from 1 species